rnacentral:rRNA from 1 species
UUGGAGGGCAAGUCUGGUGCCAGCAGCCGCGGUAAUUCCAGCUCCAAUAGCGUAUAUUAAAGUUGCUGCAGUUAAAAAGCUCGUAGUUGAAUUUCGAGACCAAUAUGUCGGUCGUGCCUCGGUACGUACUGGCAUCGUUGGUUUCUCCCUUCUGACGAACCAUGAUGUCAUUUAUUUGGUGUCGUGGGGAAUCAGGACUGUUACUUUGAAAAAAUUAGAGUGUUUAAAGCAGGCUCACGCUUGAAUACAUUAGCAUGGAAUAAUGAAAUAGGACGUUUGAUUCUAUUUUGUUGGUUUCUAGGAUCGACGUAAUGAUUAAUAGGGAUAGUUGGGGGCAUUAGUAUUCAAUUGUCAGAGGUGAAAUUCUUGGAUUUAUUGAAGACUAACUACUGCGAAAGCAUUUGCCAAGGAUGUUUUCAUUAAUCAAGAACGAAAGUUAGGGGAUCGAAGACGAUCAGAUACCGUCGUAGUCUUAACCAUAAACUAUGCCGACUAGGGAUCGGAUGAUGUUAAUUUUUUAAUGACUCAUUCGGCGCCUUACGGGAAACCAAAGUGUUUGGGUUC